UCAAACUUGGUCAUUUAGAGGAAGUAAAAGUCGUAACAAGGUUUCCGUAGGUGAACCUGCGGAAGGAUCAUUAUCGAUUCAACGGAUGUGCUGGCUUUCCUUUUGGAAUUCAUGUGCACUCCAACCUCAUAUUUACCCCUGUGCACUUACCAUAGGUUAAAGGAAUCUCCGUCGUCAGCAAUGACUUCAGUUAUUUCUCACCUGUGCUUUUAUAAACUUUAACAUAUACGAAUGUUUACAUGGCUUGUUAACACAAGUCAAUAAAGUUAAAACAACUUUCAACAACGGAUCUCUUGGUUCUCGCAUCGAUGAAGAACGCAGC
rnacentral:misc_RNA from 1 species